UAUUAUUUUAGCGGCGGACGGGUGAGUAACGUGUGGGUAACCUGCUUUACUGGGGAAUAAUCGUUGGAAACGACGACUAAUACCGCAUACGGUUCUUGGAAGGCAUCUUCUAAGAAAGAAAGGAUUUAUUCGGUAAAAGAUGGGCCCGCAUCUGAUUAGCUAGUUGGUGAGAUAAUAGCCCACCAAGGCAACGAUCAGUAGCCGACCUGAGAGGGUGACCGGCCACAUUGGGACUGAGACACGGCCCAAACUCCUACGGGAGGCAGCAG
rnacentral:rRNA from 1 species